rnacentral:rRNA from 1 species
UACGUAGGAUGCAAGCGUUAUCCGGAUUCAUUGGGUUUAAAGGGUGCGUAGGCGGACCUGUAAGUCAGUGGUGAAAUCUCUUUGCUUAACAAAGAAACUGCCAUUGAUACUGCAAGUCUAGAGUAUAGAUGACGUUGGCGGAAUAUGACAUGUAGUGGUGAAAUACUUAGAUAUGUCAUAGAACACCGAUUGCGAAGGCAGCUAACGAAAACUAUAACUGACGCUGAGGCACGAAAAGCGUGGGUAUCAAAACAGG